rnacentral:rRNA from 1 species
GAGCGGUAGAGAGAAGCUUGCUUCUCUUGAGAGCGGCGGACGGGUGAGUAAUGCCUAGGAAUCUGCCUGGUGGUGGGGGAUAACGUUCGGAAACGGACGCUAAUACCGCAUACGUCCUACGGGAGAAAGCGGGGGACCUUCGGGCCUCGCGCCAUCAGAUGAGCCUAGGUCGGAUUAGCUAGUUGGUGAGGUAACGGCUCACCAAGGCGACGAUCCGUAACUGGUCUGAGAGGAUGAUCAGUCACACUGGAACUGAGACACGGUCCAGACUCCUACGGGAGGCAGCAGUGGGGAAUAUUGGACAAUGGGCGAAAGCCUGAUCCAGCCAUGCCGCGUGUGUGAAGAAGGUCUUCGGAUUGUAAAGCACUUUAAGUUGGGAGGAAGGGUUGUAACCUAAUACGUUGCAAUUUUGACGUUACCGACAGAAUAAGCACCGGCUAACUCUGUGCCAGCAGCCGCGGUAAUACAGAGGGUGCAAGCGUUAAUCGGAAUUACUGGGCGUAAAGCGCGCGUAGGUGGUUGGUUAAGUUGGAUGUGAAAGCCCCGGGCUCAACCUGGGAACUGCAUCCAAAACUGGCCGGCUAGAGUACGGUAGAGGGUGGUGGAAUUUCCUGUGUAGCGGUGAAAUGCGUAGAUAUAGGAAGGAACACCAGUGGCGAAGGCGACCACCUGGACUGAUACUGACACUGAGGUGCGAAAGCGUGGGGAGCAAACAGGAUUAGAUACCCUGGUAGUCCACGCCGUAAACGAUGUCAACUAGCCGUUGGAUUCCUUGAGAAUUUAGUGGCGCAGCUAACGCAUUAAGUUGACCGCCUGGGGAGUACGGCCGCA